rnacentral:rRNA from 1 species
UACGGAGGAUCCAAGCGUUAUCCGGAAUCAUUGGGUUUAAAGGGUCCGUAGGCGGUUUUGUAAGUCAGUGGUGAAAGCCCAUCGCUCAACGGUGGAACGGCCAUUGAUACUGCAAGACUUGAAUUAUUAGGAAGUAACUAGAAUAUGUAGUGUAGCGGUGAAAUGCUUAGAGAUUACAUGGAAUACCAAUUGCGAAGGCAGGUUACUACCAAUAUAUUGACGCUGAUGGACGAAAGCGUGGGGAGCGAACAGG